rnacentral:rRNA from 1 species
UUGAACGCUGGCGGCAUGCUUUACACAUGCAAGUCGAACGGUAACAGGCCUUCGGGUGCUGACGAGUGGCGAACGGGUGAGUAAUGCAUCGGAACGUGCCCAGAGGUGGGGGAUAACGCAGCGAAAGCUGUGCUAAUACCGCAUGUGAUCUGAGGAUGAAAGCGGGGGACCGAGCAGCAAUGUUUGGCCUCGCGCCUUUGGAGCGGCCGAUGUCGGAUUAGCUAGUUGGUGGGGUAAAGGCCUACCAAGGCGACGAUCCGUAGCUGGUCUGAGAGGACGACCAGCCACACUGGGACUGAGACACGGCCCAGACUCCUACGGGAGGCAGCAGUGGGGAAUUUUGGACAAUGGGCGCAAGCCUGAUCCAGCAAUGCCGCGUGCGGGAAGAAGGCCUUCGGGUUGUAAACCGCUUUUGGCAGGAACGAAACGGUGUCCGCUAAUACCGGGCGCUAAUGACGGUACCUGCAGAAUAAGCACCGGCUAACUACGUG